CGAACUCCAAACCUGAACACACACACGCUCCCAGAAGAAGCAAAGGACACUGUGCUUUAGCAUCUCCUACUUACUGUCUGGAUUUAGGGGCAAAUCUAUUUUUACUAGCAGGUUAAGUAUUUAGGACAAUAACCCAGAAGCACAAAAGGAUUUCACCAACUGCUCUACAAGUCAGUCUUCCAGCAGAGCUAGCAACAGUAACUUAACAGACUGCAGCAAAGAGGUACCAAAUCUCAGUGCUUCACAAAAGUCCAAAGAGGGAGGAAAAGAGAACUUCCAGCAGAUCUUCAGCCAAAUGUGUCCACUGCUACGCCAAGAGAGAACCCAGCUUUUGCAGAAAUGAACCUGCCAGCACUGUGGUAAAGUGCUGUCUGGACAUGGCCCUGGGCACCCUGCUCUGGGUACCAUGGCUUGAACAAGGGUUGGACCCAGAGACCCCUGCCAACCUCAGACAGUCUGGCAUUCUUUCUCUGAACACAAAAACCAACAGCUGGGAACUGAAAUGUAGCGCAGCGGCCUGAAUUCUGAAGGUCUGCAGGCAGAGAGAACAGAACCUCUUACUGCUGCCCACUGUUACCUCACUGCUGGAAUCAGUGCUGUUACAGAAACUGUUUUUACAUCUUCUUCAACAGGGGAUGGGAAGGAAAGUAAGAAUCUCUGUUUUGGUUUGGACAAUAAAAGAAGCUGUGUGCAAGAAAAGGGACAAUUGGAUAUGGGGGUGAUGAUUUCACAAAGCUCGAGGCUGGUGGUUACCCUGAGCACCUCCACUACAAAGGGCAGCACUCGGGGAAGGGUUGGAGAAGGGAAGAUGCCAGCUGAGGCUGCCACCUCUGUUGCAGCCCUUCUGAACGUGGUCCUUAGGGUUACGGCUGCUGUUCAGAAGUGUGUGUGACAAUGCAUUUAUUGUCAAAGGAAGGGCAGGGCGAGGAGGGAAAUCUCUCUAACUCACUGCCAGGUGGUUUUGACAGCUUUUGUACUUGAAUUUCCACACAUCACAUCACCAGGGAGGAAGAGCUCUGGGUUGCGAACACCUAAACCAGAGCUCAACCACAAACCAUGACGAGAGCACAACCAGACCCCAACGCUGCAUGGCUGCUGCCCUACCACCUUGCCUUGGAGCCACCCCCAGCCACACUGCGUCUUUGGAGGUACAGUCGGUGUUCCACGCUAUGCCUGCACUCCCCUGAAUGGCUUCUUGGCCAUGUGUCCCAGGCAGGUGCUGCUGUGUGCCCUGAAGAAGGGGGACAUCUGCUUUGGGGCAUCCCCAGGCAAAAAGGACGUGUGACUAUCUGCUGUCCUAUCAGAGAGGUGUUAACCUUAAAAAUAAAACAACACUGCAACAGUAUACUGAAGAUUUCAAUAGAAUCAGAGGAAAGGGCAAAACAAACUCAUAAGCAGAGCAAUUUUGGAAAGGGAAUUAGCUCUCAUAAAACGUUAAGCAUGCUAAACUCUAACAUGUUGAUUUUCUAAUACAAAUGUAAAUUUUACUUAAAACUUAAUUUAUUUUCUUUGCAUUUCUUCCAGCACACACACAUUACAAGCAAGUUGUUGCUAGUGGGCUUACUCAGCUAUGAACACUACACUAACACUAUCAGUAAGAUCAAUCAUGCACUAAAUUGCUACUGAAAAUAUACUGUCUCUUCUGGCUUUAUUUCUCCACAUGGUUGACCUGCUAUUUUCCACUGUACAUUUUUUAUGUAGGGAGUAACUGCGUUUUGAAGUCGCCUCCAACUUAACCAGCAGCUUCUGCACAAGGGUCAGCAUGAAAUACUUUUUCUCAUACUCUGAUGAUACCAAAAGCGGUAGCCAAUACAAACACCGAGGCCUUGGUCAGCCUUUGUUUCAGACUGGGAUGGUUAACCAAGGCUUGAACAGCCUCUGAAAUGGAACUACAGCCAUUCUGGUCACUUGUCGCUGACAGAUGCACCAGCAGUAUCAACCCUCUUCAGAACAGGCUGACUUCAACCACAACUUUCACUUAGAAACUAAUUAACAGUAAUUAGGCUUCAGAAAAACCCCACAAUACUAUCAGCAAAAAGAUCACUAUCAACAAUCAAGGGCCAUCAUUUGAAAACAGAAAUACGCUUAUGAGGUCACAAAGCCUCUGCUCGGCUUUGGUUUACCAGCGAGAAGUCCAGGAGGAGGAACCUGGGCCCCCAGUCAGGGUGUCCGACUCAUGAAGCAGAUGUGCAGGUGACUGUGGGGCUGUAGGGGAAGGGACAGCUCUGCCUCAAGUGCUUCUGAUGCUACAAGCACCGGCAGACCCAGCAGCCACCUUAAAAUACCCCAAAAGGAAAUCUGCUUUUCGAGCAACGUCAGUCAAUAUUUACCUUAGCACUCUAAAGAUAUUUUCUGAAGAAAAUCUGUUUUCCUCCAGUGGGAUACUACAACACGAAGUCUUAUAGACAUCUUCAUUUUAGCUGAAGGCUUUGAGGUGUUGCAUUCCUUUGGGCUUACUCCUAGUGGAAAUUCUUUAGAUGCUGAAUUUAAAUGGGCUUUAAACAAGCUCGGAUGCUCAAAUGCCAUUGUUUUCUCUCUCCGGCGGUUACAGCUGCAGCAACAAGGCUGGUCCAUCAGCGGGUGCCUGACCUGCUUCUAACAGAUGCUCUCCACGACCUCUCCCAACAUCAACAUGAACUUCAGGCACUUUAAAAAGAGCCUCAACAUACCCACAAUGUGGUCGGCACACAGAUUUCUGCCAUCACUGGGCCGUAACACCAGAGCUGUUCUACAGCUCAUAGAAAACAGCACAUACCAGAAAAAGGGGAAAUAAAGACUGUGGUGGCAUCAUAUCGAAAGCUGAAAAGCAAGCACUGCUAGUCAUCAUUUCAGCUUUGGCUCAGCAAACCCUCAGCUUUCAUAACACCAAGCACACAGGAUUUCAUCUGUGGUCUUGAAGACAGCUGAUUCAGAAAGGGAAGCCUCCGUAUCACUUUCGGUUCCCCAACCCUCUGAUAAUCCUUACUGUAACCCUGACCCAGCCCCUCUCUGCUGCGGCUGACAGCGUGAGAAACAUCGCACCAAGUCCUCAGACAGAGUGAGAAGUACAGGAGACCACGUCUGGGGUUGUGCUCUGAACUGUAUUUGCCUGCAUAAUGCUGAGCCAUGCUUAAUUCACCAACCAAAAAGCUGAUUAGCCAUUUCAAAAGCCUGCCAUGAGGCUUAAUUAAUCAGCAUCUGCUUCUUGGCUCGAAGGUACUGAAGUUACAGAUACAGUCAUUGGGUUUCCCAGAAGCUAAGGGUGAGGGGGGGACACAUUUUGCAACAUACAGCGUCUUCAAGAGUGCUGCCAUGCACAGGCAAAGACUGUCUCCUUAGGGGAGGGUGAGGAAUAUCACGGCAUGUCAGGAGGGACCCAGCAGUGGGUAACCUGCCACACAUGGGCACAGCCCUUAAACCUUCAGCCUCUGCAGGGGUGAGCACUGACACCUCGACUGCAAACACUUCUCAGAGGACAACGUGUUAUCUUCCCUUUGCAAUCAGAAAUUACAAGGGCACAAACUGACAGGCCUAAGUUGACAAAAAUUCUCUAGCAGAGCUGAGAUUUGAACCCACUUCCAAUCCAGGGCUUUAUCUAUUAGGUAAAGCUGCCCAAAAAGAUAAGCUCUGUUUUUGUGUCCUUGCUAAAAUAGGGUUCUCCACGUGUUGUUUUUUUUUUUCCCAAAAUGACCUAGCUCUUUCUCAUUACUGUUUCCCUUGGAAACAAAAACCUAUUUUGCACAGUUUCCUUUGGUGUGCUUUUCUUUCUUUUUUUGAAUAAUUGCUCCUAAAAUUAAGUUUUGGGUUUUUUUUUGGUUUUUUUUUUUGGUUUAUGCAGCUCUAUAUGGCUCUUUCUGAUAAAUGCAGAAUGAAAGCACAACGGAACUUCUCAGCCACGCUGUUACUGAACAACCACCAUCUAUGGGCGCCAGCACAAGGCACAGAUCUGACCCCGGAGCAGAAGAAUGUUGCCUUGUGCUUUGGGUGGCUGCUGGAGUGGCAGUGCCUUGGGCUAUUUCAGACUUUCCAAGCUAUAUUUUCACUCUUUCUCCUAGUGCUGAGGAAUUACUUCCUAAAAACCACAAGCAAAAUGGGUUAGCGUCCUAUCUCCUGGACAUCAGUCAAUAGUCCCAUGUCUGCGCCAGUUAAGAACAUAUCUUUGUGUCCGCAGCCCUACUGUGGGGAGGAAACGAUGAUAAAUUGGGAAAACUGGCUCUUUGAAGAAAAUAUCCAAAAUAACUUUUCUGUCUGCAGGCUUUAAGUCCUCAGGGGAGGGUCAGGUUGGAUAUUAGGAACAUGUUCUUCACCAGACGGUGGUCAGGCACUGGAACAGGCUCCCCAGGGCAGUGGUUGCGGAUCCGAGCUUGCCAGUGUUCAAGAAACAUCUGGACAACACUGUCAGUCAUAUAACCUCAUUUUUGGGUGGUCCUGUGCUGAGCCAGGAGCUGGACUUGAUGAACCUUAUUGGUCCUUUCCAACUCGGUAUAUGCUAUGAUUCUAUGAAGUCCCAAAGUCACCUAUGAGAACUAAAUGAGAACUCUGACCAUGCCACACAGGAUACCCUACCUGAAUGACAGGACCCGAUGUGAAGCUUAGGCAGCUUGCCACAAAGAAAACAUGGACACGCACAGUAGAGAAUGCAUCUUACUGGGAGAGAACAGCAUGCUUACUUACCAGGUGACCUUAUUUUGGUAGGGCAGGAGCUGUACCUACGUCUGAAGGACACUGGGACCUUGUCAGAGCAAGGACUCCGCCGCUGCCCCUCAACAGAACUGCUGCUGGCCCCUGAUCCAACUCCAGGGCCAGAGGAGAAUGUCAAUAUAGAAGCAAGCUGAAAGUAUUUUCCCAAGAAUCAAAUGUGUUACACAACCACACUCUCAACCCUUGGUUACUGAACACAGCAAAAGGACAGUGGCAAAACCAACACUUAACUUUAAAAACCGGGCUGUGAAGCUGCAGCUCGCUGACCACAGCCUCAGAUUCCAGAGCCAGCAGAUUAGGUGACAGUAAGCCCCAGCCAUAUUCCUGACUGCUUCAUCUCUUUGUAAGCAAUUACUAAAAGACCACAGUAUGGUCUCAAGCAUGUAAGAAAUGAGGGAUAGCCUAUGACAAAAGUUUUGCAAGACUGCAGCAUCUGUGAGAAGUACAUCUUGCAGUACUGCUUGUCUUCUGCCAGAAGUGAUACAAGGGAAUCUAUUCCUCACUCAAGCUUAUUUCAUUUUACAACCACUAACGGUUAUGAAACCAUUUAUGAAAUUCAAUGAGUAACAUAUUGUUUUCCUUUCUUUUUAAAAUAUAUUAAAAGUAGAAUGCAAUAGAACUCUAAUUUCAGUGUGUCAAAGUUCUGUACAAAAUAAAAAUGAAAAUUAUUAUUAUUCACUUACAAUUCAUCACUGGUUUGCAGAAUGUACAUAUAUCCAAAUCUCAAUGAACAUGACAUCACAAGGAUGGCAGAUGAGAAAUGAGAACUGGAUGAGACUGGCUAAUGAAGACAGCAUCCAGUCCAAGCUCCUACCUUUUCCUGGCUGUAAAUCUGCAUCCCAGAACCUCAAACCACACGUGACGAAUGGCGAUGGAAAUACAACACACCGCUUGAGCUGCAAUGAACUGCAGAAGUACAUGUUUUCCAUUCUGUAAGUCUUAAUUUUUGUUGGAAUUAAUUUUGAAUCACAUGCCCCUGAAUAGAUAGGAAGCAAAAAUUUAUUUCAGCAUACAUUCCUUUCCUCUUCUCGGAGAUGAAGAAGAGAAAGAAGGGACUGGCAAGACACAUUUAAACUCUAAAAUAAUCCUUUCAAAUGACAUUUUGCCAGGAAAUUCCCUUCAAUGCAACACAAAAGAAUUAAUACAAAUAGACUGCCCUUGUAAAGAGAAUUGAAACAUUCCCAUUCUCUCUCUGGUGCUAAAACCUUUUAGCAGAACCACUGUAAAAUAGUUUCAUUCAGGAACACGAGCACAAUACACCAGAUUUUUUUCUCAUUUCAGAGAUACCAAAGCCCUUAGUGCUCUAAUCCUCCCUCAGCAGCCCACCACUCACAGCCCGCUCAAUCCCCAGCUCGCAUCGCUGCUUUCCUUUCUCCCCACGCUCCACGUGCCCACUGAAGUCUUCCCUUUCACUCUCAUUCCCUGACUUUCCCCCAAAUCAAAGCUCGCAUUACUUCAGAUCAUUCCUGCAGACCCCAGUUUGAGAGGGAGUUUGAGAGGGAGGGCACCUCAAGCCCUUUCUUCUGACACCAGGUGAAGGAGGAUGCAUUCCUGGGGUUACUGUGCCAUGCUCACACAUCAGCAUUGGGUGCUGCCUGUUGCAGUGUCCCAUCCGCUGCAGAACCCAUGCACGUAACAAGCUGCAGGCUCCAUGUUGUGCAGAGCAAGCCCUGCUUUGACACCAGCUGCUCCAGCUGCCUUCAGCUCUUCAUGACCAUCCUGCCUCAGGAGGAGCUCCAGCUCCUCCAGCAGGGAGAAGGGCUC